UACGUAGGGUGCGAGCGUUGUCCGGAAUUAUUGGGCGUAAAGAGCUCGUAGGCGGUGUGUCACGUCGGCCGUGAAAACCUGCAGCUUAACUGUGGGCGUGCGGUCGAUACGGGCAUCACUGGAGUUCGGCAGGGGAGACUGGAAUUCCUAGUGUAGAGGUGAAAUUCGCAGAUAUCAGGAAGAACACCAACGGCGAAGGCAGCUCGCUGGGACGGUACUGACGCUGAGACGCGAAAGCGUGGGGAGCGAACAGG
rnacentral:rRNA from 1 species